UACGUAGGGGGCAAGCGUUGUCCGGAUUUAUUGGGCGUAAAGAGCGUGUAGGCGGCCAGGUAGGUCCGCUGUGAAAACUCGAGGCUCAACCUCGAGAUGUCGGCGGAAACCAUCUGGCUAGAGUCCGGAAGAGGAAAGUGGAAUUCCCGGUGUAGCGGUGAAAUGCGCAGAUAUCGGGAAGAACACCGGUGGCGAAAGCGCUCUGCUGGACCUUAACUGACACUGAGGGACGAAAGCUAGGGGAGCGAAUGGG
rnacentral:rRNA from 1 species